CCUACGGGUGGCAGCAGUGAGGAAUUUUUGUCAAUGGACGAGAGUCUGAACCAGCCAAGUAGCGUGAAGGAUGACUGCCCUAUGGGUUGUAAACGUCUUUUAUAUGGGAAUAAAACGUUCCACGUGUGGGAUUUUGUAUGUACCAUAUGAAUAAGGAUCGGCUAACUCCGUGCCAGCAGCAGCGGUAAUACGGAGGAUCCGAGCGUUAUCCGGAUUUAUUGGGUUUAAAGGGAGCGUAGGUGGAUUGUUAAGUCAGUUGUGAAAGUUUGCGGCUCAACCGUAAAAUUGCAGUUGAAACUGGCAGUCUUGAGUACAGUAGAGGUGGGCGGAAUUCGUGGUGUAGCGGUGAAAUGCUUAGAUAUCACGAAGAACUCCGAUUGCGAAGGCAGUUCACUGGACUGCAACUGACACUGAGGCUCGAAAGUGUGGGUAUCAAACAGGAUUAGAUACCCUGGUAGUC
rnacentral:rRNA from 1 species